AUUGAGCGCUGGCGGCAGGCCUAACACAUGCAAGUCGAACGGUAACAGAAAGCAGCUUGCUGCUUUGCUGGCGAGUGGCGGGCGGGUGAGUAAUGUCUGGGAAACUGCCUGAUGGAGGGGGAUAACUACUGGCAACGGUAGCUAAUACCGCAUAACGUCGCAUGCCCAAAGAGGGGGACCUUCGGGCCUCUUGCCAUCGGAUGUGCCCAGCUGGGAUUAGCUAGUAGGUGGGGUAACGGCUCACCUAGGCGACGAUCCCUAGCUGGUCUGAGAGGAUGACCAGCCACACGGGAACUGAGACACGGUCCAGACUCCUACGGGAGGCAGCAGUGGGGAAUAUUGCACAAUGGGCGCAAGCCUGAUGCAGCCAUGCCGCGUGUAUGAAGAAGGCCUUCGGGUUGUAAAGUACUUUCAGCGGGGAGGAAGGGAGUAAAGUUAAUACCUUUGCUCAUUGACGGUACCCGCAGAAGAAGCACCGGCUAACUCCGUG
rnacentral:rRNA from 1 species